rnacentral:lncRNA from 1 species
CUUGGGACCACUAUUGAGAAGAAGUUAUGAACAAAGAGGCUGAAGAGGGAGUUCUGCCACAAAUCACUGAUUCACGGCUGGACACUUGUAACCAAGCACUGACGUCUAAC